rnacentral:lncRNA from 1 species
AUAGAGGUGGUAAGAGGACUCGCGGCGGGCCGCUUCGGCUUCUUCUCGGGCCUGCUCCCUCGGCGGCUUCCCGCGCCUUCAGCCGGCCACCAUGGGGAAACGGGAUAAUCGCGUGGCCUACAUGAAUCCAAUAGCAAUGGCUCGAUCAAGGGGUCCAAUCCAGUCUUCAGGACCAACAAUCCAGGAUUAUCUGAAUCGACCAAGGCCUACCUGGGAGGAAGUCAAGGAACAGCUGGAAAAGAAAAAGAAGGGCUCCAAGGCUUUGGCUGAGUUUGAAGAAAAAAUGAAUGAGAAUUGGAAGAAAGAACUAGAAAAACAUAGAGAAAAAUUAUUAAGUGGAAAUGAGAGCUCAUCCAAAAAAAGAC